GACAAUCAUUAUGUUCAUUCUUCUUCUCCAAUAGGAAAGGAAGUCAUACAACCCCAGAAACCAUUACAAACACCCUGAGUAUUGCUACAUUCAGUGUAGCGUUAAUCCUCUUGGCUAUUCUCGUAACGAUUGUCAAAUUUAGAGUGCUUAUCGUCAAAAAUCAGCAAAUCAUGACGAGUCAUAAGUGCUCUAAAUAGUUAUUUUU
rnacentral:telomerase_RNA from 1 species